UUGCUGCAUUGUCCAAGAUAAUUAUAUAGUUAGGAAUGUGGUUUAAGGGUAUGGCUCUAGUGUUUCCCUUCUGCAUUCUCCCUCGUCAAUUGGCUACAUUUCUCUCCAGUAAAAAAAAGAAGGGGGAAAGGUAAGAACCUAGAAAUAAAUCGAAAAUUACAGAGAUUUUUGCCUGAGAUCCUUAAGGGACGUAAAGAUUUUCUCUUGAUCAAUGCGUUGGAGAUCGGCCUCCUCUUCGAUUUCUCACUCUUUCUCCGCUUGCAGAUCGGAUUUUUCCAUCGUCAAAGCUGCAGAGGUUGUAGCUCGCUCUGUCAGUUUACUAGCAAUUACUGUCCACUAGAAAGACACCUUUACUUUAAGAAAGAUGAGAAGACGUCUGAACAAGAGUGGAACAAGAAAAGCAGUUGUGCUCUCUCUUAUUAUACCACUUCCCACUUUUGGUGCACUUGCUAAGCGCUUUAGUCAGAUCAGCCUUACCACUACAAGGCCGCUGGUAAAUCCGUCUUUUUUUUCUUCAAAAUAAUGAACUACCGCAACGACACGUGGUGUGCACGUAGCCCGUUCAAGGAAGUCAUUCUCCCAAGAGAAGCCUUGCUGAGAUAAGAGACAGUUAGCUCUUAAAAAGCAGGAGCGGGAAGCGAAGCAAGUGGUCCAAAAGAUUAUACUCAAGAGGCUCAGAUGACAAUGCCCUAACCCUCUGGUCAUUCCUAAGGCGACGAGGACAACCACAUAAGCUGAUUUAUUUGGCAUUAUAAUAGUAGAGAUGUAAAGGUAUAAUUUGCUGGUAUGUAAAAUAAACAUUAUUGUCUUCUCUACAAACAUAUUCUUUUACCUUAUAUUUGGCAUUUGUGGAAUUCUUCUCCGAGCACUUGUUUUAUGUUAACAUCUUAACCUUGCUCCAUGUCUAUUACGGGCUGAGUCUUUUUAUUUUAUGUUA